rnacentral:RNase_P_RNA from 1 species
UGAGUUUGUUAUACGGUCGCGGCGUCUUUUAGACGAUGAGGAAAGUCCGAGCAGCACAGGACAGGGUGCCUGAUAACGUCAGGUGAAGGUGACUUUAAGGAAAGUGCAACAGAAAUAAACCGCAACGCUUUGCGUUGUAAGGAUGGAAAGGCGAGGUAAGAGCUCACCGAUAUCUUGGUAACAAGGUAUGCAAUGUAAACCCCACCCGCUGCAAGAUUGGGUUUCCGUCAUAUAGGGCUGUCCGUCCGACGGAUACCGUGAAUAUCGCUCGAGCUUGUCGGUGACGGCAAGCCUAGAUAAAUGACCGUACACGACAGAACUCGGCUUACAGACAGGCUCAAAUU